rnacentral:lncRNA from 1 species
GAAGAGAAGAACUGUAAAAUAAUAAAUAGUAGUUUUCACGAGGUAUUCAGCAUGCCAGAUAAGUUACAUAACUGCUCAGAUAUUGCUUACUGAUAUCGGCCUGUGCUUUAGUUAGAAAUUGUAGCUUAAUUUUUUCAGUCUGAGUCUUGCUGUGUAAUUACUGUAGUGUUAACAUAUUAGUACUUGUUUAAACAAAGCUUCAGAAGAAGCAAACCUGGCUCAGAGUCCUAAAAAUUGUUGCCUACGCCAGUUACAUGGAUGACAAAAAGCUGUGACUACUGGAAGACAUAGCUGACCCACAAAGAAAGCAACUGCUAGCAUAUCUCAACUGUAUAGUAAAACAGCUUUUUAAAAUUCAGGUUAAAAGGUCACUGAAUGACUCUGCUAGUUAAUCUGUACUAUACAGCAAAACUGUCAAGUGACAUGGUGAAGUUCUUGCGCUGGGCUUCUUCACCUUGCAGGAUUGGAACAGGGUUUUGGCAAGGCUUAGGACCUCUGAGCUAUGCUUGCUGUAUGAAAGGUAAACUCUUAUUUCCCCAGUAACUUGCUUCUACUGUGUUAUAUGCUGUGAGGUGCACGCAAGCUUAGUCAUGGAGGUUCUGAAAAAGCUUUAUUUUUUUAUUUAUUUAUUAGAGUAGAGUAACAAAUGUGUACCAAAGAAGCUUGUGUUUCUUUUUUUCUUUCACUUGGAGAUAUAUUUCUGAAGAGUUGUAACUAAAACAAUACAAUAAUUUUUUUUUUUUUAUAUAGCAUCCAAUAAUGAAAUGGCUGGAAGACAAGGAAGUGUUAGAGUAAGUGGGUGGCCACAUCGCAUAUUAGCAGUAAUUUUGAUGCUCUGGAGUUACCAGGCCAAUGGACAAGGACAAGGUUCAGGAGUCUCUCAGGGGAGGAGAAUUCUGCUCUAUGAAAGAACUGAAGGUUCAGUCUUAAUACAAAUGACUGCUGUGUGUCUCAUAAUAAAGCUCUCAAAUACCUCUCAAAACAUACUAUUAGCACAUAUCUCUGGUUGCUUUUUAAAGCAAUUGAACAUGAUUUUGUACUUAACCUUUCUGUCUCUUGUACAUUAUGCAGCCUUACUAAUGAAUAACUUUUUGAAGAGAUGAUUUGUUUUGUUUGUUUUUAAUGGAACAGUUAAUCUUAGCCACUUCAAAAUUGGCAAGUGGUCUUUUUAAGGCUUAACAAGAUUGUUACUUUUUUCGUACAGGCAAUGCCCUUUACAAUAACUCAUUGUAAGGGAAAAAAGUUAUCGCGUGUUAAAGGUCUCUUCUAUUUAGGUGUUCUUCCUACAGGUAUUGCCCACUGAAAAGUGAAAUGUUUGUUGCCUGCUCAGAUUUAGCCAAAGACAAUAUUAAAAAAAAAAAAAACUAUCAAAAAAAAUCUGCGUGUAACAUGGCAGAGUUCUGCUGAACUUCUGUGUGAGCAUGGAGUUUAAAUUUGACCAGAAAGUAUACUUCUGCUUUCAACCAAUUGUAUUUCCAUUUGUCAUAUUCUCCGUGCAAGCAAGGAAGGACACAGUGCAGGGUUAAUGCAAUCUACAAAUGUUAUAUUUUUUCAAAAGAAUCAGGCAUGCAGCUGUUCCACUUUAUGGCCAAUAAUCAGAAAAUAUUUCAAGUCUUGUAUGUUUCAGGAAAAACUCAAGAUAAGACAGAAUAUACAGUUACGCAUAAUAUGUCACUAAAGAUUCCCCUACAAUGUUGUUUUCAAAUAUCAUACAGCAGAAUAAAAAAAAAUCAUUUUACCUUUAAAUACA